CCUACGGGCGGCUGCAGUGGGGAAUAUUGCGCAAUGGGCGAAAGCCUGACGCGGCGACGCCGCGUGAGGGAUGAAGGUCUUCGGAUCGUAAACCUCUGUCAGCAGGGAAGAACGGUCACUGUGCUAAUCAGCAGUGAAUUGACGGUACCUGCAAAGGAAGCACCGGCUAACUCCGUGCCAGCAGCCGCGGUAAUACGGAGGGUGCGAGAGUUAAUCGGAAUUAUUGGGCGUAAAGGGCUCGUAGGCGGUAUGUCAAGUCAAGGGUGAAAUCCCCGGGCUCAACGUGGGAAUUGCCUUUGAAACUGGCAAACUGGAGUGUGGGAGAGGAUAGUGGAAUUCGAGGUGUAGGAGUGAAAUCCGUAGAUAUCUGGAGGAACAUCGGUGGCGAAGGCGACUAUCUGGCACAUAACUGACGCUGAGGAGCGAAAGCGUGGGUAGCAAACAGGAUUAGAUACCCUUGUAGUC
rnacentral:rRNA from 1 species